CCUACGGGGGGCUGCAGUCGAGAAUCUUCCGCAAUGGGCGAAAGCCUGACGGAGCGACGCCGCGUGGAGGACGAAGGCCUUCGGGUUGUAAACUCCUGUCACGAGUUAAGAAGGGUAUGCGGCGAACAGCCGUAUGCCUUGACGUAAGCUCGAGAGGAAGCACUGGCUAACUCUGUGCCAGCAGCCGCGGUAAUACAGAGAGUGCAAACGUUGUUCGGAAUUACUGGGCUUAAAGCGCACGUAGGCGGCAUCGCAAGUGUGGGGUGAAAUCCCACGGCUUACCCGUGGAACUGCCUGGCAGACUGCGAUGCUCGAGUGUGGUAGGGGAGAGCGGAACUCCUGGUGGAGCGGUGAAAUGCGUAGAUAUCAGGAGGAACACCGGUGGCGAAGGCGGCUCUCUGGUCCACAACUGACGCUGAGGUGCGAAAGCUAGGGGAGCAAACGGGAUUAGAUACCCCAGUAGUC
rnacentral:rRNA from 1 species